UAGAGGUGUUCUGAAACUAUCAUUCUAGAACAGAGUUAAAACUGAGCUGUUCUAGAGGUGCUCUGAAACUAUCAUUCUAGAACAGAGUUAAAACUGAGCUGUUCUAGAGGUGUUCUGAAACUAUCAUUCUAGAACAGAGUUAAAACAGAGCUGUUCUAGAGGUGUUCUGAAAUGGUCAUUCUAGAACAGAUUUAAAACAGAGCUGUUCUAGAGGUGUUCUGAAACUAUCAUUCUAGAACAGAGUUAAAACAGAGCUGUUCUAGAGGUGUUCUGAAACUAUCAUUCUAGAACAGAGUUAAAACAGAGCUGUUCUAGAGGUGUUCUGAAACUAUCAUUCUAGAACAGAGUUAAAACAGAGCUGUUCUAGAGGUGUUCUGAAACUAUCAUUCUAGAACAGAGUUAAAACAGAGCUGUUCUAGAGGUGUUCUGAAACUAUCAUUCUAGAACAGAGUUAAAACAGAGCUGUUCUAGAGGUGCUCUGAAACUAUCAUUCUAGAACAGAGUUAAAACAGAGCUGUUCUAGAGGUGUUCUGAAACUAUCAUUCUAGAACAGAGUUAAAACAGAGCUGUUCUAGAGGUGUUCUGAAACUAUCAUUCUAGAACAGAGUUAAAACAGAGCUGUUCUAGAGGUGUUCUGAAACUAUCAUUCUAGAACAGAGUUAAAACAGAGCUGUUCUAGAGGUGUUCUGAAACUAUCAUUCUAGAACAGAGUUAAAACAGAGCUGUUCUAGAGGUGUUCUGAAACUAUCAUUCUAGAACAGAGUUAAAACAGAGCUGUUCUAGAGGUGUUCUGAAACUAUCAUUCUAGAACAGAGUUAAAACAGAGCUGUUCUAGAGGUGCUCUGAAACUAUCAUUCUAGAACAGAUUUAAAACAGAGCUGUUCUGAAACUAUCAUUCUAGAACAGAGUUAAAACAGAGCUGUUCUAGAGGUGUUCUGAAACUAUCAUUCUAGAACAGAGUUAAAACAGAGCUGUUCUAGAGGUGUUCUGAAACUAUCAUUCUAGAACAGAGUUAAAACAGAGCUGUUCUAGAGGUGUUCUGAAACUAUCAUUCUAGAACAGAUUUAAAACAGAGCUGUUCUAGAGGUGUUCUGAAACUAUCAUUCUAGAACAGAGUUAAAACAGAGCUGUAGAAGAGACAGUUUGAUCGUUCGUAAGGCACUUCCCUGUACCUUCUAUAUGUCCUGAUUCAGUGCAAACAAGCUUGUCAACAACAAUAUGUACAUAUCAGCAUCAAUAACAACAAUCACUGAUUAUUAUCACGAAACUCCCCAAAGUCA